rnacentral:rRNA from 1 species
CCCUUAGACGUUCUGGGCCGCACGCGCGCUACACUGACGAAGGCAACGAGCUUUCCUUUACCGAAAGGUACGGGUAAUCUUUUGAAACUUCGUCGUGCUGGGGAUAGAUCCUUGCAAUUUUUGAUCUUAAACGAGGAAUUCCUAGUAAGCGCAAGUCAUCAACUUGCGUUGAUUACGUCCCUGCCCUUUGUACACACCGCCCGUCGCUACUACUGAUUGGACGUUUAAGCAAGAUUUUUAAACACUGACAGUGUGUAGUUCACGCUAUACUACAGUGAGAAGAAGAAGAUCGAGCUUACUUGUCUAGAGGAAGUAAAAGUCGUAACA